GAUGCAACAAUUAGUGUGAUUAACAUGAUUUAUCAAGGAAAGAUAAAAAGUCAAAUCUUAAUUUUAUCAAGAUGCUGAGAGCAUUUGACGGGGUGAAUUGGUCCUACCUAUUUAAAGUCUUUUGAAUACAUCAGUUUAGGAUAUCUAAUGAUUAAAUGGAUAAGUACACUAUAUCAUAUUCCCAAAAAAAGUCUGCAUUAAUGGGUUUAGGUCAGGUUGAAUGGUACAUGUCAGGGAUGUCCCUUGUUCCCAGUCCCCAAUAUUGUCUAUUUUUUCGAACCCUUAU